rnacentral:rRNA from 1 species
AUACGGAGGGUGCAAGCGUUACUCGGAAUCACUGGGCGUAAAGGACGCGUAGGCGGGUUGGUAAGUCAGAUGUGAAAUCCUACAGCUUAACUGUAGAACUGCAUUUGAAACUACUAACCUAGAGUAUGGGAGGGGGAGAUGGAAUUAGUGGUGUAGGGGUAAAAUCCGUAGAUAUCACUAGGAAUACCGAAAGCGAAGGCGAUCUCCUGGAACAUAACUGACGCUAAGGCGUGAAAGCGUGGGGAGCAAACAGGAUUAGAAACCCUUGUAGUCC